UACCAGCUCUCCGAGUAGUGUGGAUGUUUAUUGGGCCUAAAGCAUCCGUAGCUUGCUAAGCAAGUCCCCUGUUAAAUCCACCGAUUUAAUCGUUGGAUUGCGGGGGAUACUGUUUGGCUAGGGGACGGGAGAGGCCGACGGUAUUUCCGGGGUAGGGGUGAAAUCCUAUAAUCCCGGGAAGACCACCAGUGGCGAAGGCUGUCGGCUAGAACGCGCCCGACGGUGAGGGAUGAAAGCUGGGGGAGCGAACCGGAUUAGAUACCCGGGUAGUCCCAGCUGUAAACGAUGCAGGCUAGGUGUUUGGGCGGCCACGAGCCGCCCUAGUGCCGCAGGGAAGCUGUUAAGCCUGCCGCCUGGGGAGUACGGCCGCAAGGCUAGAAACUUAAAGGAAUUGGGCGGGGGAGCACCACGAAGGGGUGAAGCUUGCGGUUU
rnacentral:rRNA from 1 species